UACGUAGGGUGCGAGCGUUAAUCGGAAUUACUGGGCGUAAAGCGUGCGCAGGCGGUGAUGUAAGACAGAUGUGAAAUCCCCGGGCCCAACCUGGGAACUGCAUUUGUGACUGCAUCGCUGGAGUGCGGCAGAGGGGGAUGGAAUUCCGCGUGUAGCAGUGAAAUGCGUAGAUAUGCGGAGGAACACCGAUGGCGAAGGCAAUCCCCUGGGCCUGCACUGACGCUCAUGCACGAAAGCGUGGGGAGCAAACAGG
rnacentral:rRNA from 1 species